GCCCGGUUGCUCGAAGGUUAAUUGAUGGGGUUAGCAUUAGCGAAGCUCUUGAUCGAAGCCCGAGUAAACGGCGGCCGUAACUAUAACGGUCCUAAGGUAGCGAAAUUCCUUGUCGGUUAAAUACCGACCUGCAUGAAUGGCGUAACGAGAUGGGAGCUGUCUCAAAGAGGGAUCCAGUGAAAUUGUAGUGGAGGUGAAAAUUCCUCCUACCCGCGGCAAGACGGAAAGACCCCGUGGACCUUUACUACAGCUUGACACUGCUAUUUGGAUAAGAAUGUGCAGGAUAGGUGGGAGGCUUUGAGUAUAUGACGCCAGUUGUAUAUGAGCCGUUGUUGAGAUACCACUCUUUCUUAUUUGGGUAGCUAACCAGCUUGAGUUAUCCUCAAGUGGGACAAUGUCUGGUGGGUAGUUUGACUGGGGCGGUCGCCUCCCAAAUAAUAACGGAGGCUUACAAAGGUUG
rnacentral:rRNA from 1 species